GGAUGACAUGCUAAACUGAGCGGAGGCGCCCUUGUACCCUGAAGGCGUCGGAGCGAGAUGGGAGGCUUCCCUGAGGCGCGCUUGGAAGGCCCGCGCGAGAAGGAAAGCGGCUGGAGCUGGGAGAAGGAUAAGCCCAACACAUUUUCUACACCUUGAAGUUGUCCUUGAACCCCCUUGGAAUAAGGCAGAAAAUGCUAUCAACUCCAGAACAACUGGCCUGCAUAAGAAAAUGAAAUAUAUGACAUAUUCAAUUCAGAUAUUAUUGAAGGAUGAAGAUUGUAAAUGCAAAGUUAAAGGCUGUACCCAGUGCUAAAGAGAGAAAGACAUAAUGCUACCUGAUCUGCAGUGGAACCAUUUAGGUGGGAACCAGUGGUGAAAUCCAAUUUUUUUUACUACCGGUUCUGUGGGUGUGGCUUGGUAGGCAUGGCAGGGGAAGGAUACUGCAAAAUCUUCAUUCCCACCCCAUUCCAGGGGAAGAAUACUGCAAAAUCCCCAUUCUCUCCCCACUCCUGGGGGAAGGAUAUUGCAAAAUCUCCAUUCCCACCCCAUACUGGUGCCAGCCAGAGGUGGUAUCUGCCAGUUCUCCAAACUACUCAAAAUUUCCGCUACCGGUUCUCCAGAACCUGUCAGAACUGCUGGAUUUCACCCCUGGUGGGAACUGAAUAGUUCCAAAAUAUGUUUUUGUUCCUGGAGCCCAGGUAUAAUAGCUUUAAUACAGAUGAGCCUCUGAAUAAUUGUCCAUUUAUUCAUUGAUAAGUAAAUCCCACUGAGUUUGAUCAAACUUAUUCUCAGAUAGAUAGAGAUAUACAGAAUUAGAAACCUUAGUUUCCAGUGUAGUAGUUUAGCUCAAAGUUCUCCAACUUUCCAACUUUGUGGAUUGUUGGGGGGGGGGAGAGGAUGGUUCCGAUUGGCAAGCCGCAUUCAUGCAAAUAGAGCGCACAUGCAUGCGCUUGCCUACUACUUGUGUACGUGGAGGUGCACACACACACACUCAUCCACUGUUUUCGUGGCCAGUUGCAAACAGCUUGCAACCCAGAGGUUGGGGAUCCCUGAUCUAGAUGACAACCUUAGCCCUUAAGUGUUUGGGGGGGAAAAUGCAUUUUUAGAACUACUCUAGAUUAGUAGUAUGGGGAUGUUGGAAGAUUAUGUUCUCUACCCUUCUCAGCAGUUUCUGACAGGAGAUGUUUGCAUGGUGUAAAUUCCAACUUCAUCUUUAAACUUCAUCUUUAUCAUCUUAUAAACCAAAUAGGUCUGGUAAAGUUUUUAGAUAAGUAAAAAGACAUGGCACCAGCCUAGCAUUUGGAAAUGGAUUCAAGUAAUCCCCAUGAAUUGUGGUUGACCUUGGUAAGGGCAGAAUUUUUAAAAAAACCCUGAACAUAAACAUGAAAAAUGUAUUACUUAGAUAAUAUUUACAAACUUUUAUUUUGAUCAAGGACUAUAACUUCCAAGUUUGAAUUCUAAUUCCUAACUUCCCAUUUGCUGUUAGUGUACUGUUACAUGGAACUGGAUGCAUCUGCAAAAGAGUAAUUAUCCAGCAGAGUCUAGAUCAGGGGUGUCAAACUCACGUCCUCAUGGCGAUGUCACAUGACAUAUCAUGACUCUUCUCCCCUUUGCCAAAUCAGGCGUGGACAUGGCCAGCGAGUGAUGCAUCGGGCCCACAGGCCGUGAGUUUGACAGCCCUGGUCUAGAUAGAAUGAAUACACCAAUGAAAGCAAAAUCUACAGGCAGUCCUCAACUUUCAACUGUUUGUUUAGUGACCAUUCAAAGUUACAAUGGCACUGAAAAAGUGACUUAUGACCAUUUCUCACAUGACUGUUGCAGCAUGGUCAUGUGAUCAAAAUUUGGGUACUUGGCAACUGACACGUGACAGAUGCAGUGUCCCAAGGUCAUGCCUUCACCUUUUGUGACCACCUGACAAGUCAAUGGGGAAGCCAGAUUCAGGUAAUAAUCAGGUUACUAACUUAACAGCAGUGAUUCACUUAACAACUGUGGAAACAAAGGUUGUAAAAUGGGGCAAAACUCAGUUAACUAUCUCGCUUAGCAACUGAAAUUUUGGGCUCAUGGUCAUAAGUCAAGGACUACAUGUACAUAUCUCCCUUUGGACAAAGGUCUUUGAGCUGUACUGUUUGAGUUGGAUAGGGAGUGUUUAACACUUGUUGCCGAACUAUUUAUAUA